CGGUGUUUAACUGGCGUGAUGUGGGACGUCCUACCGGUGGGCUUAGCCUCGCGAGGGGCGGCCCAACUAAUAUCCCGUCGCGGUGCUCUUUACUGAGUGUCGAGUCGGGCCGGUACGUUUACUUUGAACAAAUUAGAGUGCUUAAAGCAGGCUAUCCUCGCCUGAAUACUGCGUGCAUGGAAUAAUGGAAUAGGACCUCGGUUCUAUUUUGUUGGUUUUCGGAACCCCGAGGUAAUGAUUAAUAGGGACAGAUGGGGGCAUUCGUAUUGCGACGUUAGAGGUGAAAUUCUUGGAUCGUCGCAAGACGGACAGAAGCGAAAGCAUUUGCCAAAAAUGUUUUCAUUAAUCAAGAACGAAAGUUAGAGGUUCGAAGGCGAUCAGAUACCGCCCUAGUUCUAACCAUAAACGAUGCCAGCUAGCGAUCCGCCGAAGUUCCUCCGAUGACUCGGCGGGCAGCUUCCGGGGAAACCAAAGCUUUUGGGUUCCGGGGGAAGUAUGGUUGCAAAGCUGAAACUUAAAGGGAAUUGACGGAAGGGCACCACCAGGAGUGGAGCCUGCGGCUUAAUUUGACUCAACACGGGAAACCUCACCAGGGCCCAGACACCGGAAGGAUUGACAGAUUGAUAGCUCUUUCUUGAUUCGGUGGGUGGUGGUGCAUGGCCCGUUCUUAGUUGGUGGAGCGAUUUGUCUGGUUAAUUCCGAUAACGAACGAGACUCUAGCCUGCUAAAUAGGCGUACCUUAUGGUAUCGCGAAGGCCCCCGGCUUCGGCCGGUGGGUUUUUACUACCAACGUACAAACAAAUCUUCUUAGAGGGACAGGCGG
rnacentral:rRNA from 1 species